rnacentral:tRNA from 1 species
UGGUUGAUAGCUCAGUUGGUUAGAGCAACCGCCUGUUAAGCGGUGGGUCGUGGGUUCGAGUCCCACUCUUCCAG